GUCGAGAAUUUUUGACAAUGGGGGAAACCCUGAUCGAGCGACGCCGCGUGGAGGAUGAAGGUCUUCGGAUUGUAAACUCCUGUCAUUGGGGAACAAUGCGUGACGGUUAACUGCCGUCGCGUUGAUAGUACCCGAAGAGGAAGAGACGGCUAACUCUGUGCCAGCAGCCGCGGUAAUACAGAGGUCUCAAGCGUUGUUCGGAUUCAUUGGGCGUAAAGGGUGCGUAGGCGGCGCGGUAAGUCGGGUGUGAAAUCUCGGAGCUUAACUCCGAAACUGCAUUCGAUACUGCCGUGCUUGAGGACUGGAGAGGAGACUGGAAUUUACGGUGUAGCGGUGAAAUGCGUAGAUAUCGUAAGGAAGACCAGUGGCGAAGGCGGGUCUCUGGACAGUUCCUGACGCUGAGGCACGAAGGCCAGGGGAGCAAACGGGAUUAGAAACCCUAGUAGUCC
rnacentral:rRNA from 1 species